AAAAGAUAAGCUAAUCUUAAGCUAAUGGGUUCAUACCCCGUCUACGAGAGCAAAAUCUCUCUCUUUUU
rnacentral:tRNA from 1 species